UUCAACUACACCUCAAACUCCAUCUAGCGCCCAUUUUUUCACUAUUCAUCCUUCUAAUUUUCAUUCACCCGCUUUCUCUACCCCUUCACAUUUGUGCGUUACACGUUCCCCUAUGAAACCCUAUUUUCCCCCCAAAUCACAUUUCCUCAAUCUCAAUAUCUGAAAUGGAUUUCUGAAAGUAAUAUCUCUUCCCCAAAUUGCUUUGUGUCAAGUCUUUCAAUCUCUUUCUUUCUCUCUUGGACAAAGAAUGGCAAACACCCGGCUUCGUUUUGACGUUAGAAGAUGACAAACCCCUUAGUCACUUUUGAUUUUCAUCAGAGACUCAAUUGUUCAGCUAUGGCAUCUCAAAGUCAAAGAGGCGGUGUUUCUCUACCUAUCUGACCAAACAAUUCCCAAGACUCCAUCAUACUUAACAAACUCCUCAAAAGCACUGGUAAUUCCGCUUGGAUCACCGGAACCACCUUCCUUGUCCUAUUCUUUUCUCUUAUCAUCUAAAUGGACCGCGAGCAGCAGCUCAACAAUCUUGAACUUCAGCAGGCCAGUAUCCUCAGUACUCCUCCUAAGUGAUUUCCACCGCGUCUAUGAAAAUUAGGUCUUGGUACAUCAAGUUUGACACAUUCACUCCUGUGGCAGAACGCGGGCUUCCGGUCACUAGAGUUAUUAGUAGAAUGGCUUUACAAUAUAUUCUUGCUCGUGCAGUAGGGGAAGAUGUCAUUAUGAAUUCCAGUAAUGUUGUUGAUUUUGUUUAUUAUGGAACUAAGGUUACAGUCGUGCUGGAUAAUGGUCAGGAAUAUGAUGGAGAUCUCUUGGUUGGAGCAGAUGGGAUUUAGUCCUAGGUGAGGACAAAGUUAUUUGGCGAAACGGAAGCUACAUACUCUGGCUACACUUGUUAUAUUAGUAUAGCAGAUUUCAUGCCACUUGACAUUGAAUUUGUUGGGAAAGUUUAGCAAUGAUAUGCAUUUCACCAAGAACCUGCUAGAGUUAUUGACACCCCCAAUGGUAUGUGCUCCUAAACUAAAUGUGAAAUCUAUCAGAGGACCCUCUGCAGAUGUAAAACAUUCUCCAUUAUAAAAUCAAGACAUAGAUAGUGAUUAACAAUAUUAAAAAACUGAACUGAAUGGUUCAAGUGGUUGAAUCAUGAACUAGCCUUCCCACACUUCGGUUAUUUUGGAGGUUUGAUUGCAGUUUAAGAUGACCAUGACCUAGGAGAGUCUCAUUACUAGUGUUUAAUAAAUAGGUUAGAACAUUACAAAACUGAACAGAUAAGUUCUGUUUGCUAUAUUUAAAAACAUAAAAGAAAAACGGAAUUGAUGAGACCCCUUGCACAUGGUUUUACAAACUACUUCUUUUGAAUUUGUGGGUUGUUCCUGUUUGUGUAUCGUGGGAUGAAGGACCUUAAUGAUAAAGUAUUUAACUUAAUCCAUAACAUGCUAGUUUAACUUUAUAAGGUGGGGAGGAUAGAUGAAUGUGAUGGUGUACUUUCUUAACAAUCAACCUUUCAUAACAUGCUAUUUUACUUUUUAUUAGACUUUUUUUCUUUUGGAGUGGUAAGUUUACUGUCAAGAGUGGCUUUUAUAUCUUAUUACUAUUAUAAUAUGUAGUUUUGUUUGAAACUUUCAGUGCUAGAAUUUAUUAUAUAUGUUCUUGCUACUUCUGUUUCAAUUUAAUUCCAACCUUAUGCUAUUUUGCAUUGUUUGAGAGAUUGUUACGUCCAAAAAGAUGUGGUUUUGAAGACAAAUAAAAUGAACUAUAUUAUCUUAUUUAAUUAACUCUACUGAUACAUUUUUGGAUUUUAUUUUAUACUUAUACUGAUUUUGGAUCUGCAGAUUUUAUGUUUUAUACUGAUUCUGCUGAUUUUGGAUAUGCCUAUUUUAUACAUUAUCAAAGUUUAAACCGAUCUAUUUGUAACUUAAUUGAGAAAUAUGGUAAUAGGGGACCUAACACAUUGGUUGGCUGAUUAUGUUCCCUCCCAUGAGCAUCCCUCCCAUGAGCAGCUACUUUACCUUAAACCAAUAAUGAUUUCAAUUUCUCAUUUGAUAGUUUCAUUUUACAGGACGUGUGCAUGCCGGUCAUCAAUGGUCUUCAAGCAACAAAAUUGAUUCGAUAUACAAGAAGGAACUUCCAAGAGUAACUCUAAUGCAGCCCAUAGAUACCUAUUGUAUUUAGAUGGAUAAAAAUGCAAUGGUUAAUCUCAUGUUUCAUAAUUCUAAUUGAUGUUUAUUUAGAGAAUGUUAGAUGUUCAUAUAUGUUAUAUCUCUAAUUCUAUAUUAGACAUUGAUAAUGGUGUGUACUAGGCUAUUGUAAGAAACCCAUUCUCUAUGUUAGAAUAAAAGCACACUUGGAAGAAACAUAAUUCUUGCAUGGGUAUUAAAAGAAUAUCUUACUUCUAGUUUUAUACCGUGUAUUGGUUAUUGGUUAUUAGAAGUGAAAA